GGCCCUACGGGGCGCAGCAGUCGCGAAAACUUUGCAAUACACGAAAGUGUGACAGGGCUAUCCCGAGUGCCAUCCGCUGAGGAAGGCUUUUACCCAGUCUAGAAAGCUGGGGGAAUAAGGAGAGGGCAAGUCUGGUGUCAGCCGCCGCGGUAAUACCAGCUCUCCGAGUGGUGUGGAUGCUUAUUGGGCCUAAAGCAUCCGUAGCUGGCUAAGUUAGUCCCCUGUUAAAUCCAACGAAUUAAUCGUUGGAUCGCGGGGGAUACUGCUUGGCUAGGGGACGAGAGAGGCAGACGGUAUUUCCGGGGUAGGGGUGAAAUCCUAUAAUCCCGGGAAGACCACCAGUGGCGAAGGCUGUCUGCUAGAACGCGCCCGACGGUGAGGGAUGAAAGCUGGGGGAGCGAACCGGAUUAGAUACCCGGGUAGUCCCAGCUGUAAACGAUGCAGGCUAGGUGUUUGGACGGCCACGUGCCGUUCUAGUGCCGCAGGGAAGCUGUUAAGCCUGCCGCCUGGGGAGUACGAUCGCAAGAUUGAAACUUAAAGGAAUUGGCGGGGGAGCACCACAAGGGGUGAAGCUUGCGGUUUAAUUGGAGUCAACGCCGGAAAUCUCAC
rnacentral:rRNA from 1 species